UACGGAGGGUGCAAGCGUUAUCCGGAUUCACUGGGUUUAAAGGGUGCGUAGGCGGGCAUUUAAGUCAGUGGUGGAAAUAACCUGAGCUUAACUUGGGAACUGCCAUUGAUACUAUUUGUCUUGAAUGUCGUGGAGGUUAGCGGGAAUAUGUCAUGUAGCGGUGAAAUGACUUAGAUAUGACAUAGAACACCUAUUGCGAAGGCAGCUAACUACGCGAAUAUUGACGCUGAGGCACGAAAGCGUGGGGAUCAAACAGG
rnacentral:rRNA from 1 species